UUUAAAUAGCUGCGGUAAUUUAACUGUACAAAGGUAGCAUAAUAAUUAGUCUUUUAAUUGAGGUCUAGAAUGAACGGUUUAACAAAAUAAAAACUUUAUUAGUUUAAUAAAAUUUAAAUUUAAUUUUGUAGUUAAAAAGCUAUAAUAAUUAAUUGGGACGAUAAGACCCUGUAGAUCUUAAAUUUAUAAAAUAAUUUUUUUUUUUUGUUUUUUUAAAAAUAUUAUUUUGAAAAUUUUUGUUGGGGUGACAUUAAAAUUUUUACAACUUUUAAUUUUAUAUUCAUUAAUAAAUGAGUCUAUGAUCCUGACUUUUAGAUUAAUAGAUUAAGAUACCUUAGGGAUAACAGCGUAAUAAAUUUGGAUAGUACAUAUUGAUAAAUUUGUUUACGACCUCGAUGUUGAAUUAAUUAAAAUUUUUAAAGUAGAAGUUAAAAAAUUUGGGUCUGUUCGACCUUUAAUUAAUUACG
rnacentral:rRNA from 1 species